rnacentral:rRNA from 1 species
CCUACAAUGCAGUCGAGCGGCAGCGGGAAGUAGCUUGCUACUUUGCCGGCGAGCGGCGGACGGGUGAGUAAUGUCUGGGAAACUGCCCGAUGGAGGGGGAUAACUACUGGAAACGGUGGCUAAUACCGCAUAACGUCUUCGGACCAAAGUGGGGGACCUUCGGGCCUCACACCAUCGGAUGUGCCCAGAUGGGAUUAGCUAGUAGGUGGGGUAACGGCUCACCUAGGCGACGAUCCCUAGCUGGUCUGAGAGGAUGACCAGCCACACUGGAACUGAGACACGGUCCAGACUCCUACGGGAGGCAGCAGUGGGGAAUAUUGCACAAUGGGCGCAAGCCUGAUGCAGCCAUGCCGCGUGUGUGAAGAAGGCCUUCGGGUUGUAAAGCACUUUCAGCGAGGAGGAAGGCAGUCGUGUUAAUAGCACGGUUGAUUGACGUUACUCGCAGAAGAAGCACCGGCUAACUCCGUGCCAGCAGCCGCGGUAAUACGGAGGGUGCAAGCGUUAAUCGGAAUUACUGGGCGUAAAGCGCACGCAGGCGGUUUGUUAAGUCAGAUGUGAAAUCCCCGCGCUUAACGUGGGAACUGCAUUUGAAACUGGCAAGCUAGAGU